AUGGAGGUUGUAAUACUUGGGGACCCAAACACAACAUCAUGCAAGGCAGCAAUAGAGCUCAUUAAGGCAGCAAUGCGGAAGCUGAUGCCUAUAGCCGCUGUGCAUGAUGGUAUGCGGUUAGAAGACCAGCUUCGAGAUGCCAAAUGCAAGGGUACAGAAACAAGUAACGGGCAUGCACCUGGCUGUGGUUACGGGAGUGAUGCUGAUGGAAGCCGAGUGGGCAUUUUGAAAGGAUUAUCAGCUCCAGAUCGUAAGUGGAGGGCGGGUCCUCCCACAAACAGGAGGUAUACGCCUCCAUAUGAUGAUUUCUGGGUGCAAUCAAAGAAGCACAAUGGUGUGGCUGAUGCGACAGGCACAACUGAGUGCGGUACAAGCAAACGUACACGCUUCUGCAGUAUAUGCGGGCAAACAAGACAUAGAAGUAUAGUUUGUCCUCGGGGUGACCUCCUUCUGAAACCAAGGAAGGAAUCCAAAUGCUCAAACAUGUGCAGCAACCUGAAAAGUUGUAUCUCUGCCUGGGCGAGGCUUUCCACCUUCGGUUUGGAUGUUUUGUGUGGAUGA
rnacentral:rRNA from 1 species